rnacentral:rRNA from 1 species
CGAAACUCAAAUGAAUUGACGGGGCCGCACAAGCGGUGGAGCAUGCGGUUUAAUUCGAAGCAACGCGAAGAACCUUACCAGGUCUUGACAUCCCGAUGCUAUUUCUAGAGAUAGAAAGUUACUUCGGUACAUCGGUGACAGGUGGUGCAUGGUUGUCGUCAGCUCGUGUCGUGAGAUGUUGGGUUAAGUCCCGCAACGAGCGCAACCCCUACGGUUAGUUGCUAACGGGUAAGGCCGAGCACUUUAGCCGAACUGCCGUUGACAAAACGGAGGAAGGCGGGAUGACGUCAAAUCAUCAUGCCCUUUAUGUCCUGGGCUACACACGUGCUACAAUGGCCUGUACAAAGGGCAGCAAAGGGGCGACCCGGAGCAAAUCCCAAAAAACAGGUCUCAGUUCGGAUUGCAGGCUGCAACUCGCCUGCAUGAAGGCGGAAUCGCUAGUAAUCGCAGGUCAGCAUACUGCGGUGAAUACGUUCCCGGGCCUU